GGUAACAGGUGUUCGAGUCUCGCCUAUGUGAUGUCAGGGGUUUCGGAGGUCCUAAUACCAACAACUAGCAUCUCUAUUGAAAUACUUAUAUAUGCAACAACAAGACGUCUGUGGUUCAAACCAAUCAUGAAGGGAGCUGAGGUGCCAGGAAGCUGACAACUUUACACUCCCGAUGCUCCUGAGUCUACAAGCUAAGAGAGGGGUGAAUAACCCAGUGUGCGUCACUGCUGCUGUUGUCAUCCUUCACUGACACCAGACUCCAGCUUCUUCAGAUUCCAACAAGACUCCAGGAAUCUUCUGCAGACCAGAUUGGGAUAUCGAAAGAAAACAGAUGUGUGGACUGAGGUGAUAUCUGCUUCUCAGCCUCUCCGCUCUAAAGAUGGACAUUUUUUGAUUACCUGGAAGUAGGGAGGGCAAACUGGAAGUGACCUGGAUUUAUAAACACCCGACAGCCCAGCAUUCCUCCGCACAUUGCAGGCUGCUUGGACUCUGAGAAAGGAACCAGCUGCAGAAAUGAACUGAGCAGUGCAACGUAUUAGAGUUGCUCUGAGUCAUCUGGCAAGGGGCUGGAAACUGAUGGGCCAAAGCAGAGGAAGAAGGUUCUAUUCUACCUGCUCCCCAAGACUGGUCUGAAGACCUGCACACUACCAACCAGGAUGCUCAUUGCUGGUUCCAUGCUAGCAGCAGAGCCAUUGCUGAGCUGGAGACUCCAGCAUGGUGAGUCCAAGUGAUGUUUUUAAAUAAGAAAACACACUG
rnacentral:lncRNA from 1 species